rnacentral:rRNA from 11 species
AGGUGCGAUCAUACCAGCACUAAUGCACCGGAUCCCAUCAGAACUCCGCAGUUAAGCGUGCUUGGGCGAGAGUAGUACUAGGAUGGGUGACCUCCUGGGAAGUCCUCGUGUUGCACCUC